GGAGGCGAAAGUGCUCGUCUGUAUUCUCGUAUUCCUUUUCGGAGUAAGUCACUCCGCCAGAGCAGACCUCCCACAGAAAUGUACAGUAAAACGACAAAACUGCGAUCAACCAACUUUCCUGACAAGAUACUACUUCAACGAGACAAAGAAGCGUUGUCUGUCUUUCUUCGCUUGCGCUGGAGAGGGAGACAACUUCUACCCAAGAAUGGUGGAUUGUGUCAAAGACUGCAGGCCAAGACAACGCCCACCAAAUUGCUUCGCAGAAAAGCGAAGAGUGUGCACGGGAGAUACGUUUGGCGAGACAGCCUGGACAUACGACCUGAAAAUGGCGACAUGUGAACAACUUCAAAAAGCUUGCGGCGUUACCAAGAACAACUUUGUCUCACGGGAGGAAUGCGUAGCAGAAUGCCAUGGCUUCGACCAGAACGGCCUGCUAAUAAAGUACAGAGAAGCGAAAGAACCAUCAACAGCAAAAGAGCCCGCUAACAGGCGUGGGUGAAGAACGAUACCGUGUGCACCGUCCGAGGUACCAUGGAAAUAAAUCACCACUAAUUGAUGGGGCGAUUGAUCGAAAAGUAAAAAU